rnacentral:lncRNA from 1 species
AUUGUGCUCUCCUGGGAAGCACCCUGUGCAAUUUUGUCAGGUGCCUACACAUGCCAAAAUGGAGUUCAGGAAGUGCCCAGUUUUCUGCACUCUAGGGAGAUUAAACACUAAUGGAGAAUCACCCAAAAGCCCUUGACCUGUAUGCCCAUAUGUGAUUCACCAGUGUUGUCAGAGCAACAUUGAAUGAAGGGGUAGUCACGCAUGUCCACAGUUUGGAAAAUGUUCUGUUAUAGAACUACAANUUCUAUAAGCCAUGAUAAUGUAAAUAGAAUGUGGGACUAGAAUCUAAGAGACCCUUGAUUCCAAAACCCUACUNGGCCCUGGUGACCGGGGACCAGUCACUCUCUUUCGGCCUAACCUUCCUCACAGCAUUGUCAUGGGGACAAAAUAAGAGAAGAGCAUUAUAGGCAACCUUGAGUACUUUGGACAAAAGGUGGGGUAUAAAUACCAACCAUAAGUACAUAGUCAGUCAGUCAGACCCUAGCCAAAGCAGCUGGCCACUUUGAGCAAGGAUCGUAAGAGCUGUAGACCAGAAAAAUAUUUUUUCCAAGUUCUGAACUCAAUCUAGUAUGCCAAAAGCUCUUGAGCAAAUCUUGAAUCGUAUAAUCCCCAUGCAGGUCAAAGUGAGUUCCUGCUGUGUUUAGGAUUGUGGCCAAAAUCCUUGAGCCUGGGCUAAACAGACUUAAAGGUGAAAGGGAAACAUUUUAUUUUUAAAAGUGUGUAUUGUAGAAAGGAAAUUGGCCGUUGAUGCAUUUAUUAUUGCCUCUCCAGAGCCACUUGAGAUGUGACUUCACUUUUUCAUUGCCUCAGAAAGAAGUUCAAGAACAACUUUUUCUUUGCUUGGUUAACAGAGGUGGAGAAGAGAGAUUUAUUACUGACAGUUUUUCCACCCUAAGUUGCUUCCCAAGCACAUUGCACUGGUUAGAGACCAGUUCCAGGGCAGGAGAAACCAGCCUGUUCUCUCCAUGCCAGUCCUAUAAUCCAUAGAGUUCCUGGGCUUUGCAUUCUAGUAAUUCAAGAAAAGAAAAGACUUUCCUUCAGAAAAGAGGGGAAAAUAAGUCCAACUGCUGCACAUCAAUAUUUCUUGAAGCCUGUUGCUUCUCUCUAUCACCUGAGGGGUUAUUAUUGUUUUGGGAAGAACAGAAUCACAGCUAUGGAAGACAAAAGCUUUGAUAACAUCAAACCAUGGCUAUAUUGCAUUAUAUACUGUAUAUGGAUUAUAUGUGCAUGAGUUUAGAUUUGAUGAGGGCAAAAUUGCUCUUGGAGAAGAAUUCUGUUUGGGAUACGAUGCUCUGAAACAGGGAGGUUUACCCCCUGCAACGUCAAUUUAAAGACUGGUAGUCAUUUGCUGAGUUUCAGCUGCAAGAGAGAUCAAAGCUGAAACUUUCUAAAUAAACCUUGCAACUGUGCAGAAGUUCUGAAAAGA